AACGCGAAGAACCUUACCCAGGCUUGACAUGCAGCAGACGUUGGCAGAAACGCCAAUUCCCUUCGGGGCUGCUGCACAGGUGCUGCAUGGCUGUCGUCAGCUCGUGCCGUGAGGUGUUGGGUUAAGUCCCGCAACGAGCGCAACCCUUAUCAUUAGUUGCCAACACGUGAAGGUGGGAACUCUAAUGAGACUGCCUGGGUUAACCAGGAGGAAGGUGAGGAUGACGUCAAGUCCGCAUGGCCCUUAUGUCUGGGGCUACACACGUGCUACAAUGGCCGGUACAAAAGGCAGCGAAACUGUGAAGUGAAGCAAAUCCCGAAAGCCGGCCCCAGUUCAGAUUGUAGUCUGCAACUCGACUACAUGAAGAUGGAAUUGCUAGUAAUGGCGAGUCAGCAACAUCGCCGUGAAUACGUUCCCGGGCCUUGUACACACCGAGACGAC
rnacentral:rRNA from 1 species